rnacentral:rRNA from 1 species
GAUCAUGGCUCAGGAUGAACGCUAGCUACAGGCUUAACACAUGCAAGUCGAGGGGCAGCAUGGUCUUAGCUUGCUAAGACUGAUGGCGACCGGCGUACGGGUGAGUAACACGUAUCCAACCUGCCUACCACUUGGGGAUAACCUUGCGAAAGUAAGACUAAUACCCAAUGACAUCCCACGAAGACAUCUGAAUGGGAUUAAAGAUUUAUCGGUGAUGGAUGGGGAUGCGU